rnacentral:rRNA from 1 species
GGAGUUAGCCGGUGCUUCUUCUGUGAGUGAUGUCCUUCCUGCCGGCUAUUAACCCGCAGGCCUUCUUCCUCACUGAAAGUGCUUUACAACCCGAAGGCCUUCUUCACACACGCGGCAUGGCUGGAUCAGGGUUGCCCCCAUUGUCCAAUAUUCCCCACUGCUGCCUCCCGUAGGAGUCUGGGCCGUGUCUCAGUCCCAGUGUGGCUGAUCAUCCUCUCAGACCAGCUACGGAUCGUCGCCUUGGUGAGCCGUUACCUCACCAACCAGCUAAUCCGACAUAGGCUCAUCCGAUAGCGCGAGGCCCGAAGGUCCCCCGNUUUCCCCCGUAGGGCGUAUGCGGUAUUAGCCUGGGUUUCCCCAGGGUUAUCCCCCACUACCGGGCAGAUUCCUAUGCAUUACUCACCCGUCCGCCGCUCGCCACCAGGGAGCAAGCUACCCGUGCUGCCGCUCGACUUGCAUGUGUAGCNCGCCGCCACGCGUACAUCUGAGCGACGAAUACAACUACUCGA